rnacentral:rRNA from 1 species
AUACGGAGGAUGCGAGCGUUAUCCGGAUUUAUUGGGUUUAAAGGGAGCGUAGGCGGGAGCUUAAGUCAGCGGUUAAAUGGUGCGGCUCAACCGUGCCCUGCCGUUGAAACUGGGUUUCUUGAGAGUGCAAGAGGCGGAUGGAAUUCAUGGUGUAGCGGGUAAAUGCUUAGAUAUCAUGAAGAACUCCGAUUGCGAAGGCAGUCCGCUGGGGCACGUCUGACGCUGAUGCUCGAAGGUGCGGGAAUCAAACAGGAUUAGAUACCCUGGUAGUCCGCACGGUAAACGAUGAUUACCCGCUGUCGGCGGCAGACAGUCGGCGGCCAAGCGAAAGCGAUAAGUAAUCCACCUGGGGAGUACGCCGGCAACGGUGAAACUCAAAGGAAUUGACGGGG